CCGCCUGCGCGCUUGACUCUCCUGUCGAGAGUCACUUAUUUAGACUCGCCUGUCGUGUUGUAAAUAAUGAGAAACUGAAGGAGUCUGUUAUAAUAGAAAUAUUCAAGAAAAGGCUCAUCAAAUGGACGCGUCAAAGAAAGUCUUUACGAAAAGAGGAGAGAGUUUUCGGAAGAGAGAAAGAAGAGCGAAUGGUGUGUCAAGUGAAGCCAGGUACUGGAAAAUGCUGGAAAACCCGGAGAUACCCAAGAUGGACGCCACUAGGUCGACUGACCACCCAUUUAGGUACCUGCAGGAAAUACUAGGAGAAACAGUUGGGUUCGGCACAGCAGCCAGUCCAGAUCUCGACCGCAGCAGGUAUUAGUUACCUGUUGGCCACUGCUGGUCGAGAAGUCGAGAAGGAGGACACCAGUUGGUUCUUCAGCAGUCUGGAGUAUUUGCUCGGAGUAGCAGUGCCUGCUACCAGUUGGAAUCCUCUGAUGAAGGAUGGAUGGUGGCUGAAACAUGGUCAUCAAUGGAGUUCCUAUGUGAUAGUAGCAAGA